UCAAAUUUUCUCAAUCACAGCACCGUCACGUUCUCUCUCUUUCCUCUGUCUCUGUGUCUCUCUCUCGAUCACACCGAGACUUAUCUCCCCUUCCUUCAAUUUCUUCUCCCCCUCAUGAUUUGCGCUCUAACCUUCACUCUCGCUCUCUUUCUCUCUUCUAGCCCUAACGAAGAAACAAGCCCCCGUGUUCCUAACCCUAACUCACUGAGUUCACUUCGCCUGCCUCGCCUCGAACUCGGAAGGAAGCAGCUUCGCGGGCACUCGCACGCUCGAUUGAGUCUCCCGAGACAAGGGAAGACAAACAUGCUUGUGGCAUGUGGCCUUACCGGUAUGGAAUUACCUCAAUGAACAAGCGCUUGUUAUCAAGAGAUUAUACAAGUACAGUUGAUAUGGAAUCAAGAAUUUAUGUCGAUACAAAUGCCAUGGAAUAAAAAUCAGCUUUGAAGACUUGGCUGUAGGCUGUAUAGGAAAACUUGAGAGGAAGGUGAAAUUCUUGAGAAAAACUAGCCCAUAUGAAUUCACAACAAAAACUUAUAUCCUACCCCAAGAAACAAUACAGGUUGGUCAUGAAGCAUGCUAAAAAUAAGUGCUUCAAUGCAGAGUCAACUAUACAACAAC